UUUUAGUUUUAUUUUUCAACCGACAGUCUCUAUCUUCCAAAUUCUAAAAUCCCUAACUUGUGCCUUCUAAAAUCCCUAACCCCGUCUAUCUGUCUCCAUCGAUUCCCAAUCACCGAUCCACCUCCACCGUCAAGAUCUCCAUCGAUCCACCUCCGGUUCUCCAAGAAAAUCAUAUUUGAGAAACAAUCGACAUUGAAAUCGAUUUGGCUUACCUUAGCUUCCUUUCCUGACUUGAAUUUUUAUGACUAUGGCUAGUUCGAACACUCCUAUACCUGUGGACGAUGGGUUUAAUGAGUAUGAAAGUGCUGUCAAACGUCAAAAGUCUACCACUUCAAAGGUGUGGGAUGAAAUGACAAAGCUUGAAUGUGACAACAAAAAUGAAUUGAAGGCACAAUGUAAUCAUUGUAAGACUAUCUUCUCUGCUAAGUCUUCCAGUGGAACCUCUCAUUUAAGACGUCAUCUAAAUAGCUGUUUGAAAAAAGUUAAUAAGGACAUCACUCAAUACACCAUAGUCACUCAACCAUCACCA